rnacentral:tRNA from 1 species
UCUAUUAAAUUAAUUCUUAAUUAAUAUUCCAAUUGAUUCUU